AAAAAGAGAAGCAAAAGGAAAUCAGCAAGGAAUGGUAGGGAAGACGUGUGGUCUGAGCCCUGGCCUGCAACAUUUUCAGAAGAAGGGGCAGCGGAGGUCUGAGGAGUGGGCAGCAUGUGUCCUGGAAACCUAGGGGGGAAGAUGCACCAAGAAGUGAUUAACUGUGGCCAUCACUGCACACAACCCAACCAAGACAAGAACUCAGAACCAACUCCUAGACUUGACUGCAUAGGUCAUGACUACCUUGAUCCUAAGCUUCGAGCUGACUUGUUUGUCCCGGGAGCAGUCACAGAAUCUGGAAAAGCAUCAUGGCUAAGCAAGGUUUCUCACAAGAAGCCUCUGAGUGCAGGCCGAAUCCCAGUGCAGAGCCUGUGCAGCGAUCGCAGGCAUCGGAGCUGAGCGCCUGAGUUUGGUGGAGUGAACACAAAUACCAGAGGAGAGGCCCACACGUGCUCAAGCUUUCAGAAAGGGCUGAUAUCUAGUUUUAUUGUUGUGAUUUCUGAACCUCAACAUUCUCCUCAAACUCAAUAUAAUUAAAAAACCCUGAUGCUACUUCCAAGAGAGUUAGGAUUCUACGGAGAAUUUUCAAACAAACCCACACAUCUGCUGGUUAAUAAAAAAAAAAAAACCUGCUAGAUGAACUGAUGAAUUAACUCCAGAAUCCUGAAGGUUUUUCUGUGUUUAUUAGAAAAAAAAAUAGACUAGCAAAAUCCAUAAUCUCAGAGAAGAUGUAGGACUCCAAUUUAUUAACCCAUCUCUGCAGUUACUGAAGAGAGAAGGAAAUUAACAAACUGCAUAAGAAAGUCACUGGAUGAACAAAGCCACCAGAAAUAAAAUGGCCCAUAGAUAGGAAAUAGGGGCUUACCCUCUGGCUUUCCAACGCAAUACCUUACAAUGAGCUGCUGGCCAAAGCAUGAUGCUACAUCCAGAGCACAACUCUAAAAGAACAGAAUUAAUGGAGUACUAUUUAGUUCCAACCAUGAAGGAAAUCACGCUAUUUAUGACAAUACACACAAACCAGGCACAGAAAGAUUCCUACCAUAUGAUCUCACAUAUGAAAGCUAUAAAAAAAAGUCUUAAAAAAAAAACUCAUAGAAGCCCAGUAGGUAGUUGCCAGAGAUGAGGAAAUGGGAGUUAGAGUGAUAUUGGUCAAAUAUCACUAAUAACUUCAGCUAAUAUGAAUAAGGUCCAGAGAGCUAGUGUACAGCAGGCUAUCUGUACUUAUGUAUCAUAGUUUGAAACUUGGUAAGAAAGAAGCUUUAAGUGUUCUUAUGCAAGUACCUGAGAAAAUGUGUAUGUUAAUGAUCUUUGUUGAGCCACUCCACUCUGAAUACAUAUUUCAAAACAC